AACUUCAGGUGUCAACAGACAGGGGUUUGGUCUUUAAGGUACAGUGGUCAGGCGUGUGGAUCGUGGGCUGGAACAGCUGGAGUGCUGACUCGGCUCCUCCACUUGCCAGCUGUGUGUCUGCUGCAAGCUCCUUCCAGCCCUGAGCCUCAGUGACCUCAACUGGAAAGUCGGCAUGAUAACAGGACCCAUCUCACCAGUCUGCUGUGAGGAUCAAAUGCCACCACGUAUGCAGACAGCCUGGCACACAGGCUCUCCAGGCAAACGUUAACUCCAUGCAGGGGACAGCCUCAUUUAGACCACAGCUGACAGGCCAGACUCUGAAUAGCAGCAGAGGCGGCUAUGUCUGGGCAUCAGACCCCCUUC
rnacentral:lncRNA from 1 species